rnacentral:rRNA from 1 species
CCUGGAAUAACCUGCCGAAAGGCGGGCUAAUACCAGAUAGAGCGAUGGGAUCCGUAAUCGGAUCUUUCGGGAAAGGGAGCGAGCAAUCGCCCUCACUCUUUGAUGAGCCUGCGUCUCAUUAGCUAGUUGGUGGGGUAACGGCCCACCAAGGCUUUGAUGGGUAGCUGGUCUGAGAGGAUGAUCAGCCACACUGGAACUGAAACACGGUCCAG